GAAUGUUUCACAGCAAUUACUUUUUGCUUAGUUAGGAUUCUGGGACCAAAUGCUGUAGCUAAGCAACUUAUAAGGAGAUAAGGUCAAGCUGGGCCCCUGGUUUCAUAGGGUGUGGUUCUCGUGGGAAAGGUAUAUCACAACGCACAUCAUCUUGAGAGAGUAGUAGAGGAAGAGAAUGGGGCAGGAUCUAGCCUUCCCCCAAUGACCUACUUCCCCCAGUGACCUACUUCCCUCAGUGACCUACUUUCCCCAGACAGGCUUACCUUUUACCAUGGACCAAUGAUGCUGUCACAUUCCAAGUCCAUCAGGAUGAAUCCAUUCACAUCAGAGCAGCCAUAUUUCACUGGACCUUUGAGACAGCCUCACAGACACCAGCAGCGGGAGCGUGGGCAUGAAGUGUGUUCUCAUGCGCACAGGACCUGGGACUCAGCCGGGAAAGCGGAUGCCAGUGUGACUGUGACAGGCAGAUGAGGCUAUCAGUUGGAAAAGUCAGGUGAUAGAGUCUCGCAGACUCUUACUUCAGCUCCAUUUGGCAGCUUGAUCGUGUGCCACGCGUGAAAGAGAUGCUAUGCUAUGCAGCAGGAAUCGAUCUUGCAGGCUGGCCUCCUGAACUGAAAAGCAGGACAGACCCAUGCGUGAAGUCAGGGGCUCCCUG
rnacentral:lncRNA from 1 species